AGUGAACGCUGGCGGUAGGCCUAACACAUGCAACUCGAACGGCAGCACAGUAAGAGCUUGCUCUUACGGGUGGCGAGUGGAGGACGGGUGAGGAAUACAUCGGAAUCUACUUUUUCGUGGGGGAUAACGUAGGGAAACUAACGCUAAUACCGCAUACGACCUACGGGUGAAAGCAGGGGAUCUUCGGCCCUUGCGCGAUAGAAUGAGCCGAUGUCGGAUUAGCUAGUUGGCGGGGUAAAGGCCCACCAAGGCGACGAUCCGUAGCUGGUCUGAGAGGAUGAGCAGCCACACGGGAACUGAGAGACGGUCCAGACUCCUACAGGAGGCAGCAGUGGGGAAUAUUGGACAAUGGGCGCAAGCCUGAUCCAGCCAUACCGCGUAGGUGAAGAAGGCCUUCGGGUUGUAAAGCCCUUUUGUUGGGAAAGAAAAGCAGCAGGUUAAUACCCCGCUGUUCUGACGGUACCCAAAGAGUAAGCACCGGCUAACUUCGUG
rnacentral:rRNA from 1 species